rnacentral:snRNA from 1 species
AUACCCUGGUUUCUCUUUGGAUAGAGUAAAUCUUUCGCCUUUUACUAAAGAUUUCUAUGAAGAGAAACAACUCUGAGUUUUUGGUCAAUUUUUUGAGGCCUUGCUUUGGCAAGGCU